rnacentral:SRP_RNA from 2 species
GCCAGGCGUGGUGGCAUGCACCUGUAGUCCCAGCUACUCAGGAGGCUGAGGCAGAAGAAUCGCUUGAACCCAGGAGGCGGAGUGCAGUGAGCCAAGAUUGUGCCACUGCACUCCAGCCUGGGUAACAGAGUGAGACUCUGUCUCAA